AUAAACAACGGAAAGUGCAGAAGAUGCUUGGAAGUGAGGGCAGCGACACCUACUUAUAACGGUAAAACGGAGCCCUAAUUCCGGUGGGAUUAAGGCGGCGUAUGUAGUAGUAGCCGUUAAUGGAAG